AGAGUUUGAUCAUGGCUCAGGACGAACGCUGGCGGCGUGCUUAACACAUGCAAGUCGAACGAGGUCCAUCCUUCGGGAGAAGACCUAGUGGCGAACGGGUGAGUAACACGUGAGCAACCUGCCCCGAAGACUGGGAUAACAGCGGGAAACCGCUGCUAAUACCGGAUACCCCCAUCGGACCACAUGGCCUGAUGAGGAAA
rnacentral:rRNA from 1 species